AGGGAAUUCAAGGAGAUGAAGGAACUCGUGGCUCAUCGGGACCAAAGGGUGUCUCUGGUGAAUCCGGUUCAAGGGGUGACAAAGGAAGUACAGGAGACAAGGGCGAGGCAGGUUUCGAUGGAUUCCCCGGCAAACCUGGUGUUCCUGGGAAAGAUG